rnacentral:rRNA from 1 species
GUCAGAUGUGAAAGACCCGGGGCGUCAACCUCGGAAUUGCAUUUGUAAACUAGGCAGACUAGAGUACUGUAGAGGGGGGUAGGAAUUUCAGGUGUAGCGGUGAAAUAGCGUAGAGAUCUGAAGGAAUACCGGUGGCGAAGGCGGCCCCCUCGGACAGAUACUGACACUCAGAUGCGAAAGCGUGGGGAGCAAACAGGAUUAGAUACCCUGGUAG